GGCAGCAGCCGCGGUAACACCGGCGGCCCGAGUGGUGAUCGUGAUUAUUGGGUCUAAAGGGUCCGUAGCCGGUUUGGUCAGUCCUCCGGGAAAUCUGAUAGCUCAACUAUUAGGCUUUCGGGGGAUACUGCCAGACUUGGAACCGGGAGAGGUAAGAGGUACUACAGGGGUAGGAGUGAAAUCUUGUAAUCCCUGUGGGACCACCUGUGGCGAAGGCGUCUUACCAGAACGGGUUCGACGGUGAGGGACGAAAGCUGGGGGCACGAACCGGAUUAGAUACCCGGGUAGUCCCAGCCGUAAACGAUGCUCGCUAGGUGUCAGGCAUGGCGCGACCGUGUCUGGUGCCGCAGGGAAGCCGUGAAGCGAGCCACCUGGGAAGUACGGCCGCAAGGCUGAAACUUAAAGGAAUUGGCGGGGGAGCACAACAACGGGUGGAGCCUGCGGUUUAAUUGGACUCAACGCCGGACAACUCACCGGGGGCGACAGCAAUAUGUAGGCCAAGCUGAAGACUUUGCCUGAAUCGCUGAGAGGAGGUGCAUGG
rnacentral:rRNA from 1 species